UACGGAGGAUCCAAGCGUUAUCCGGAAUCAUUGGGUUUAAAGGGUCCGUAGGCGGUUUGGUAAGUCAGUGGUGAAAGCCCAUCGCUCAACGGUGGAACGGCCAUUGAUACUGCCAGACUUGAAUUAUUAGGAAGUAACUAGAAUAUGUAGUGUAGCGGUGAAAUGCUUAGAGAUUACAUGGAAUACCAAUUGCGAAGGCAGGUUACUACU
rnacentral:rRNA from 1 species